CUGAAGACUCUACUUGACUAGCUGAGAGGAGGUGCAUGGCCGUCGUCAGUUCGUACUGUGAAGCAUCCUGUUAAGUCAGGCAACGAGCGAGACCCACGCCAACAGUUGCCAGGCUCGGUCCUCCGGGAUGGUGGGGACACUGUUGGGACCGCUCUGCUAAAGGAGGAGGAAGGAAUGGGCAACGGUAGGUCAGCAUGCCCCGAAUUAUCUGGGCUACACGCGGGCUACAAUGGGUGGGACAAUGGGUAUCGACACCGAAAGGUGAAGGCAAUCUCCUAAACCCAUCCGUAGUUCGGAUUGUGGGCUGCAACUCGCCCACAUGAAGCUGGAAUCUGUAGUAAUCGUGUCUCAAAAUGGCACGGUGAAUAUCGUCCCUGCUCCUU
rnacentral:rRNA from 1 species